rnacentral:lncRNA from 1 species
UUUUAAAGGUAAUCGUCCAAUUAGUAAUUAUUAAGAUAACGAAUUUACAAACUCACAAAUCCUUUACCCAAAGUUCCCAAAUACACUUUUAAAGAAAGAAAACCCAAAGUUAACAGUUGAAAGAAAGCCUAAGUGUCCAUAAGGCACAUGUUGCCAUCCAAAUUACAAACCAACAAAUAGAAUUACAAGCCUAUGUGAUUAGCGCCUUGCUAAUACGGCUUUGGCAAAGAGAGUGAAAGGUAAUCGAAGCAUCCAACCUUUGGAUUUUCCUUUACUUCACUUUCGUUUGAUCAUGCCACACGUGAUGAAUACCUGCCAUGACAUUCCAAAGAAAAAGAAAAAAAACAAAUUAAGAUAAGCAUAUCAUUUGUAAUAAAAAAAAUAGGGUAAUUCUAAUUUAAUCCUAAUACGAUAAGGUACCACAAGUUUGAUUCCCCAGCGAGAAGUAGUGGCAACGCCACUCAAAACAACUUCCACAGAAUCAGGGAUGCGCAAAAAUCCCUAACAGAUUUAGUACUAUCAGCAAAAAAAAUAGCUCACCAAUUCUUAUCCUAAGAAGAAACUCUCCUAUAAAAGGAGACGGAAAUAAGGAAUCUAGGGAGGAUUUUUUGGAGACCCUACUAAAACGCUGUCGAACUCAAUUCCGAAAAUCACACACAAAGCUUGAAAAUCCUAAGUUACUUAAAGUUUCUCAUUGAAACUCUGAAGUAAUUGAGCUAAACCACAAAACACGAAAAAGGAGAGAGUUUAAAGAAAAGGGGGAAACUUAUCUGAAUCGCGUCGGAGAAGACCUCGCCGCCGGACCCGCUCCAAUCAAGUAGUCUUCUUCUCCCUCCUUUGCUUGAAAUCUUCAUACCAUUGCAUUCACCUCUUUGAACUGAGUAAAAACCCCUUGAUAAUUUCAUUAAAUCGUAACUGUUGAGGGUCUAACUCCAAAAUUAGGGUUUUAUGUCUGAACUGUUCUUGUUGUUGUUUUUGUUUUGAUUUGUUGGUUAAAAGGAGGUUAGGGUUUUGUUUGGUUGCGUUGAGUAUCGUUUGGUUGAGGUUUGAGUUUGUUCAUUUCGUUUUGAGUAUCGAUCAGGUCGUUUGAGAUUGAUUUAGGGAAAGUUAAGGCCGGAUUUGGAUUCUCCGGCCAAAACGAGGUGGGGUUGGUGUUUGUGUUUUGGAGUUUUGAGGUGGUGUUUGGCCGGAGAAGAAGGUGGCGCCGCCGUCGGCGGCCGGCCACCACCGUCUUCUCCGGUGGGUUCUCGUCUUCCCCGAUGGAUAUUUGCAGAGCAGGAGAGAGCUCUGGUUGAAGAGAGACAUUUGAGUUUACCAAAUUAACUCUCUCUCUCUCUCUCAAAAGUCGUUCUUAUACAUUGUUAAACUUUGCGUGCAUGGAGGCCAAAUGGCCCGUCCGGGUGUCGCCACGCGUGGUUGACUGUUGGGUCAACCAUGGGAUGCCAUGUGGAUCCCCCACCAUAGUGCUAGGCAGGGCUCAUCUAUCAUGUCGUCCAUCGCGUUUGACCAGAGUCAGAUCAACAGAUCUGACGGUCAGGUGUGCAUCCAUGAGUCAACACGGUUGACUGGUUUUUUCUUUAGGGCCUUUCUGAAUUUGGAAUGGGCCAUUUUGCUUAAGGCCCACAUCCGUUUUUCUCGUGGCACAUCCCUGGUGCUAGGUCUGGCAGUGCCCAUUUGGGCUUAGUCUUUAUCCCAAGGCCCAACUGCUUUGUUUUUUUUAUUUCUUUAUUUUUUUAGCCCAUGUUUAGUUUUUUAUUUGAUUUGAGUAGAGUUUUUAUCCACCAAUUAAAUUCAUAUUAUCAUUAUUAUUAAUGUCUAAGUUAAUUAUACAAUUUACCACUAUUUAAUUAAUUAAUUUUAUUAUUAUUACCAUCAUUUAUUAUUUAAAUAUAAUUUAGAUAAUUACUCAUUUUGUGGGAUU